UGCAGUCGAACGCUGAAGCGACCAGCUUGCUGGUCGUGGAUGAGUGGCGAACGGGUGAGUAACACGUGAGUAACCUGCCCCUGACUUCGGGAUAAGCCUGGGAAACCGGGUCUAAUACCGGAUACGACCUCAGGCCGCAUGGUGGGUGGUGGAAAGUUUUUUCGGUUGGGGAUGGGCUCGCGGCCUAUCAGUUAGUUGGUGAGGUAAUGGCUCACCAAGACGACGACGGGUAGCCGGCCUGAGAGGGCGACCGGCCACACUGGGACUGAGACACGGCCCAGACUCCUACGGGAGGCAGCAGUGGGGAAUAUUGCACAAUGGGGGAAACCCUGAUGCAGCGACGCAUCGUGCGGGAUGACGGCCUUCGGGUUGUAAACCGCUUUCAGCAGGGAAGAAGCGCAAGUGACGGUACCUGCAGAAGAAGUACCGGCUAACUACGUGCCAGCAGCCGCGGUAAUACGUAGGGUACGAGCGUUGUCCGGAAUUAUUGGGCGUAAAGAGCUCGUAGGUGGUUGGUCACGUCUGCUGUGGAAACGCAACGCUUAACGUUGCGCGGGCAGUGGGUACGGGCUGACUACAGUGCAGUAGGGGAGUCUGGAAUUCCUGGUGUAGCGGUGAAAUGCGCAGAUAUCAGGAGGAACACCGGUGGCGAAGGCGGGACUCUGGGCUGUAACUGACACUGAGGAGCGAAAGCAUGGGGAGCGAACAGGAUUAGAUACCCUGGUAGUCCAUGCCGUAAACGUUGGGCACUAGGUGUGGGGGACAUUCCACGUUCUCCGCGCCGUAGCUAACGCAUUAAGU
rnacentral:rRNA from 1 species